UGCAAUACAAAAGCUUUACAAUAGCAGUACACGAGCUGUACAAUGUGCAAAGUGCACCGCCGUUGCACAUGACCUGCAGGUUCACAGCUGUGAAUCACAGCACUCACUGCUUUCUUCAUACAUUUGAACUAUCCCUGAAUGACAGGUACGAAUUCAUAGCAAAUCCUAACAUGACCGAUGCAACUCAGCCAGCAACUCUUACCAUGGAAAAGGGUCCAACAGUCUAACGUCAGAAAAAAUGGACACACAAAUGUUAAGCGCAUGUAAAUGUACCACAAUACAGCCACUAUUGUCUUCUUAUUAAAGCGCUCAAUCCUCGCCUCCGCUGAUGUCAUCUUCACGAACGACGGCAUAUAUCUGCAUAUGAAAGGAUCACAACAAAUCAUUGUUUAGGCAGGAACACAUAGUUGUGAGCAUGUUACGUACAAUGACGGCUGUAGGUGUGACACCGGCAUAACGUGCCUCGAAAUAAGGCAAUAAAAAGCAUUUAGUUAAUAGCCAUGGUCUUGCAACCAGAGGCUUCAUACCUCCGAACGGCCGCUACGUGGCCUGCCACGUCCCGUUUGAGCCCGACUCUUGUUCAUAUCCUUACCACCAUCCUUGCGCUUGUCCUAUUCCUUGCGGUUCUCCUGCUCGUGUCCUUGGAAUGUAAAAUGACAAGGCAUAAUGUCAGUGUAUGCACCUGCAUGAUGGCCACUUACUGCCGGUGCCGUCUAGUCCCCCUUUUCCUGCUUUCCCCUGCUUGCCUGCGAAUGAAUGGUACGCCAUUAUAGAGGAAGAAAGACAGAUUCUUGUUAUGAAGAUGCUAAUUCAUUAGGCUUUACCUUACACUGUCGUCAUUGGAGGAUCAGCGUGAGUAUAAGCAAUGCAUACGCGCUAAACAACAAAUUCAAGAUAAUCUUAUUAGUGCAAUGCGCGCAAUGAAUUACUGCCCUGAGGACACGGGCAGCACUGGGCCUUACGCCCAACUUACUCCCAACUCCCAACUAACCCUCUUACUUAACGCAAGCUCGCAUAAGUUGUUGCGCCAGAGAUAAAUGCCAAAGGAGAAGAUACCCCCUCUAACGGUUGAAAUACUGAAC
rnacentral:lncRNA from 1 species